rnacentral:rRNA from 1 species
CGUGUAGGCGGGGAGGUAAGUCAGAUGUGAAAUUCCAGGGCUCAACCCUGGCGCUGCAUCUGAAACUAUCUUUCUUGAGUGCUGGAGAGGAAAGCGGAAUUCCUAGUGUAGCGGUGAAAUGCGUAGAUAUUAGGAGGAACACCAGUGGCGAAGGCGGCUUUCUGGACAGUAACUGACGCUGAGGCGCGAAAGCGUGGGGAGCAAACAGGAUUAGAUACCCUGGUAGUCCACGCUGUAAACGAUGGAUACUAGGUGUAGGAGGUAUCGACCCCUUCUGUGCCGGAGUUAACACAAUAAGUAUCCCACCUGGGGAGUACGGCCGCAAGGUUGAA